GUGCGUCUGCUCCCUGCAGUCGACGGUAACAGGAAACAGCUUGCUGUUUUGCUGACGAGUGGCGGACGGGUGAGUAAUGUCUGGGAAACUGCCUGAUGGAGGGGGAUAACUACUGGAAACGGUAGCUAAUACCGCAUAACGUCGCAAGACCAAAGAGGGGGACCUUCGGGCCUCUUGCCAUCGGAUGUGCCCAGAUGGGAUUAGCUAGUAGGUGGGGUAACGGCUCACCUAGGCGACGAUCCCUAGCUGGUCUGAGAGGAUGACCAGCCACACUGGAACUGAGACACGGUCCAGACUCCUACGGGAGGCAGCAGUGGGGAAUAUUGCACAAUGGGCGCAAGCCUGAUGCAGCCAUGCCGCGUGUAUGAAGAAGGCCUUCGGGUUGUAAAGUACUUUCAGCGGGGAGGAAGGGAGUAAAGUUAAUACCUUUGCUCAUUGACGUUACCCGCAGAAGAAGCACCGGCUAACUCCGUGCCAGCAGCCGCGGUAAUACGGAGGGUGCAAGCGUUAAUCGGAAUUACUGGGCGUAAAGCGCACGCAGGCGGUUUGUUAAGUCAGAUGUGAAAUCCCCGGGCUCAACCUGGGAACUGCAUCUGAUAC
rnacentral:rRNA from 1 species